rnacentral:rRNA from 1 species
UACGUAGGGUGCAAGCGUUGUCCGGAAUUAUUGGGCGUAAAGAGCUCGUAGGCGGUUUGUCGCGUCGGCUGUGAAAACUCGGGGCUCAACCCCGAGCCUGCAGUCGAUACGGGCAAACUAGAGUGUGGUAGGGGAGACUGGAAUUCCUGGUGUAGCGGUGAAAUGCGCAGAUAUCAGGAGGAACACCGGCGGCGAAGGCGGGUCUCUGGGCAACAACUGACGCUGAGGAGCGAAAGCGUGGGGAGCGAACAGG